ensembl:lncRNA
CAGCUGGUUUCAGUGCUGUGAGCACUCACAAGAGCCGCGCCUGCCUCCCCAGGAGCUGGUGACAUACCAUGCUCCACUGUCCGUAGAGCCUUUCUGCCUUUCUCCUGCCCUUCCCAAUCCUGACUAGCAGAUGGGGAACGGAGGUACUUCUCCAGUGUACCAGCCCAUACCCAAAGUUGUACCCAAUUGACACUACUAUGAAAGUGACAGUUCAGCAUAUUUUCCAAGGCAAGAAACAAGAAAACCUGGUUGAGAGGAACUGGAGCGAGAGAGCAACUGGAUGGGGAGCAGCAAUAUUGACAAGAAGGCUGGAGACAAGUUUUGUGAACAGCAGCUCAGGAGGCCUAGGAUAUUUUGCUGUUUCCUAAGGAAAGACGCUCUCUAUGCCUGCCUUUUCUCUUCUGGGUUCUUGUGCCCUACCAGACUCUUGCUCAAAGGUUGUCAUACAAUUCAGCUGUGCCUGACAGCCAGCACUGUCACAGCUAUUGUGGUGGCUCUGAGACUGAAAUUCAACCUCCAGAUGUAGCUGGGAGUUAGUUCAUCAGUGUCAGGGAAGACUGGAGCCAGCUGAAGGACUUGAACGCAGGCCCAAUGAGCUGGCCACAUGGAAAAGCCAAGCAGCUACAUACUGUAAUCCUGAACAGCCCAUUCAACGGUCAGAUAUCCAGAUAGCUUGCUGGGCUCCAGGGCAACAAACAAAAGCAAUGAUGAAAACACAGAAAUUUUGCAGAUCAGUAGAUGCAUUUCAUACUCCUGAAAAUUGGACCACUUGGAUUAAGCUGCCUAACUCAAUUAUUUUUAGGGAAAGAAGGGGAAAAAUAACCUUGAAGUCUGUAGUUUGUUAUCACAUCCUAAGACCUUUCUUGGAUUUUUGAUCAGAUGGAACGGAUAUGGUCAAGAGGGAAUGUCAUUCUUUGGUGGGUCUUUCUGUAGUCUUACAUAACAGAUUAAUAAAUUUACUUGGCUUGUUCUGUUGACUAGAGAACAGUGACUUUUUUUUGGAAGAAACAUUUUUCCUCUGAAAAAUGCUUAUUUAAUUCUACCAAAUUUCUCUGUAUUCUGGCUGAUACAUAUAUUUUUUUUUUUUUGGCCAAAAACAUUCAAACAUUUCAGAAGAGCUUAAAUAUUUUGAUUUUUCAUUAAAAUGAAGUGCUUUGUUUCAUGCUGUACCCAGAACCUUUUAAAAAUAAAUUUUAUAAAAGCUUUUAUUCAUCU